rnacentral:rRNA from 2 species
UGUGACCUCAAAUCAGGUAGGACUACCCGCUGAACUUAAGCAUAUCAAUAAGCGGAGGAAAAGAAACUAACAAGGAUUCCCCUAGUAACUGCGAGUGAAGCGGGAAAAGCUCAAAUUUAAAAUCUGGCGGUCUUUUGGCCGUCCGAGUUGUAAUCUAGAGAAGUGUUAUCCGCGCUGGACCGUGUACAAGUCUCCUGGAAUGGAGCAUCAUAGAGGGUGAGAAUCCCGUCUUUGACAUGGACUGCCAGGGCUUUUGUGAUGCGCUCUCAAAGAGUCGAGUUGUUUGGGAAUGCAGCUCAAAAUGGGUGGUAAAUUCCAUCUAAAGCUAAAUAUUGGCGAGAGACCGAUAGCGAACAAGUACCGUGAGGGAAAGAUGAAAAGAACUUUGGAAAGAGAGUUAAACAGUACGUGAAAUUGCUGAAAGGGAAACGCUUGAAGUCAGUCGCGUCGUCCAGGGAUCAACCUUGCUUUUGCUUGGUGCACUUUCUGGUCUGACGGGUCAGCAUCAAUUUUGAUCAUAUAUUGGAAAAAGAUUGAGGGAAUGUGGCAUCCUCGGAUGUGUUUAUAGCCCUUGGUCAAAUACAAUGGUUGGGAUUGAGGAACUCAGCACGCCGCAAGGCCGGG